UCGAGGACGAACGCUGGCGGCGUGCCUAACACAUGCAAGUCGAACGGAGUAUUUGAUUGAUCCUUCGGGAUGAUUGAUUUUAACUUAGUGGCGGACGGGUGAGUAACGCGUGAGUAACCUGCCUUUGAGAGGGGGAUAACGUUCUGAAAAGAACGCUAAUACCGCAUGACAUAUCGAAGCCGCAUGACUUUGAUAUCAAAGAUUUAUCGCUCAAAGAUGGACUCGCGUCCGAUUAGUUAGUUGGUGAGGUAACGGCUCACCAAGACCGCGAUCGGUAGCCGGACUGAGAGGUUGAACGGCCACAUUGGGACUGAGACACGGCCCAGACUCCUACGGGAGGCAGCAGUGGGGGAUAUUGCGCAAUGGGGGCAACCCUGACGCAGCAACGCCGCGUGAAGGAAUGAAGGUUUUCGGAUUGUAAACUUCUUUUAUUAAGGAAGAAUAUCACGGAUAGGAAAUGAUCUGUGAGUGACGGUACUUAAUGAAUAAGCCCCGGCUAACUAUGUGCCAGCCGCCGC
rnacentral:rRNA from 1 species